rnacentral:tRNA from 1 species
ACCUGGGUGGCUCAGCUGGUUGAGCGUCUGACUUCAGCUCAGGUCAUGAUUUCGCAGUUUGUGAGUUCGAGCCUCGCGUCGGGCU